CGUCGAGUUGCUGGUUAGUGUAUGUGCGUAGUCGGUUGAGUGUGUGGGAAUGUGUGUGUUUUUUUGUUACACUAACACCAUUAUCACGAUUGCAUAAAGCUAUUGAUAAACUGUGAUUUUAUUUUUAUUAGCUGCGAAGAUAAUCUUUUGAAGUGCAUAGUUUGAUGAGGUUGUAAUUUCUGAUAGGCCUUCAGAGAGUGCAUAGUCUUUGGUCGAGAUUAUAAAUAUAACAACGACCGUUACUGUAUCACAGAGACAUCUAGUUAGAUAGACUGCAGUCGUACGUAUUCAUCGUUUUUAUCACUGAAUAGAAGAUGAACAUUCCGUCAAAUCCAGUUCCUGAUGAGAAGCAACUUUUUUUGUCCAACCGCCGGAGGACCUCCAAGGCCACCAGGACUUACAGAGAACUGGUGAAAAAGAAGAUUCUGAAACAGGAGAGGCGAGUUCAUUUAAAGUUGCAGAAAAGCCACGAAUAUCGCAGACUUAGGUCCAUGGUCCCCAGCAUUGCCAAGAAAGCUCACGUCCCCAAGGUUACUGUAAUAGAAGAGGCCAUUCGAUAUAUUGACCACUUGCACAACGCUCUUCUGACGAGAUUAAGAACACGGGGUCUACCUUUAUGCCUUCAAGGCAUGAACAUCGAUAUAAACAGUUUUGAUCAUUCCCAAAUUCAAGAACUUGUACAUAAUCUUAUGUUAAACUCUAACACUCCCUCUACCGGACAUCCUGCAAGCUUGUCUGGAAAUGUUUGUGAAAGAACAAGACUUGUACCAUCGUAUUUACUUCGGAAAGGGAAAAAAUUGCAGUCUUUGAGCGCUAGUCUUUAAGAUCAGAGUUAAGAGAACAAAAUGGCUGGCCAGGUUCGUCGCUUCCAUCUUCUUUCUUUUUCCAAUGUUGGUCACUUUUUUUUCUUCUCUGGCUAAACUGGAUCACUUGGGAAGAAGACUGAUUUCUUUAAUGGUUGGCUCUUUGCUGAUCUGAAGAGUGACAGUGUCUGCUACUCGGUCUUUCAAACGAAGAUCUCAUAGACUGUGAUCUGAACGUUCAAGGCACUAAUAAGGAAACACGUCACGCUAGUGGUCACGUGACUAAUCUCCUGAACAAUGGCUUCUGUAUUAAUCCAGACGUAUUGCGGCUAUAGCACAUGUGAAACUUUGACUUGGUUCUUCAACUGUAUCUAUUCGCUCGUGGAAGCGACAAGAGGAACGUGCAAUUAUGCGUACAAAACAUAAAUAUAGAUGCGUCUAUAUGAAUUAUAUAUAUAUAUAUAGAUAGAUAGAUAGAUAGAAAGAAGUUUUUGUACAAACGGUGUAUACUGUGGUCUAGACGUGGUUGUAUGUACGUGUGUGUGGUUUGUGAUGCAGAACGAAGCUACAGUAACUUGGUAGUCGGGUGAUAUUAACGCUAAUUAUUAUACUUAUCAUCGCUUACAGAGAUAAUUAUAUGUAACUAUGUAACAUACUACUUAGACUCAUGUAGGUCUCUCAUCAAGAGAUUCGAUUUAUCGGUUAUCAAUAAAAGGUUAUCCAAGUCCUUUUUCAUGUCA